AUUUACAAGGCUCUUGACUGGAGUCUGCCUGAUGAUGAAGAAAGGGUUCUCAGCCUGUCUUUGGAACAGUUGAUAGAGCAGAUGGUGGUGAGGUCAGAGGAUCAGCCUGCUGUCACGAUUGAUGAAAUUAUGAAGAUGUGCAAUAAUCACCUACAAGACCCCUCUACAGUAUCGGUCUUCCAAGCCGUGAACAGGGCUCUGUUUGCAGAGACUGUGGAACUGCGCAGAUACUGGAGCAGUAUCAGAAGUGCAAGGAAGAAGCCGCCUGCCCUGCCGAGCUCCUCCACCAUACGUAUGGCAUGAAUGCCAUUUGCCUAUCAAGUACUGUUGACUUUUGUUACGUCCUUCAAUGUCUGGAGAACUUGAGUCACUCAGCCAUGAUUAGAGAAUGCUCCAAUUCUGGCAUUGAUGGAAGCUCAUUGAAUCGGGGAAUGCAGAUAGAGAGAGGACACAGUCCUGAGCAACAGUAACAUCCUGGGACAGC